GUAAUAUGGCAGGCUUUUUUCUUCUUUUUUUUUUCUUUUUGGAGCAUAAAAUGUGGCUGUCUAGGUGACAAGACUCUAAAGUCCAUUGAUGAGGUUCCCUUCACUCCUCUGCCUGCUGUAAGGUAAGAACCUGUAGUUACAGGAUACAUGGAACACUCAUUUUGCUUCAAUACCCGUGUUCAGCUUGUGAUUUUCUCUGUCAUCAACCUCACUGCUAAAGAAAAUGCUCAUGGGCAAGAAGGUUCUACUAGGCUGAACUUUCUACUGGGCUUUCAGUCUGGCAUUUUGAAUGAAGUUUGUGCCUCAGUCACUGGUGUUCUACACUUUGUUCUCACUGAAGGAGUUUAUUUUCAUCAAAGUCUGCCUAGGGAUAACAUCCACCUAUUACCCUCUUGAUGAAGGCUGCUUGACUUAUGUUCACUGAAUAGUUCUGUGGUGUUCUGGGCUUGAUGAGGGUUCCCUCAGUUUUCCCAGACAGAGCUCUAAUGGGAGCUGAAGUGGAUUCUGUUCAGAUCACUUCUCUGAAGGUAACUCAGCUAGCCAUGUGCCUUAUACUGCCUUAUGCUUUACAUAGUGACGGCCAUAGGACAGCUAGAAAGACAGAAGAUACCCAAAACAUUAUACAGUCCUCUUGCUCUAGAUAGUGUCCUAGAAGGACCUAUUCUGGUAAACUUUUGUCACUGUUUAAUUUGAAGCAGAAAAUUUAACCUGUUUUCCUUUCAGUAGCCUCAAAUCUACAGGAGAGAAACUUCACUGCAAAUUAAGGAUGCAAAAAGGCCUUACUAUAGUCGCCAUCCCAGCCUUUCAAAUGACUUGCAGAGCUGUGUUCUGUUGUGAAGAGGCUCAAAGUAGUGAGCAAGUCAUUCUGAAAUGAAUGGUGUGUCUUUAAGUCUACCAAGAUGGAGCAGCCUUUGGAGGUGAGAUCAGAGCAUCUGCCACAGCUUGUGAUGUGCAGUUGUCCAAAGAAUGAACAGACUGAUCAGCAUCUUGAAGAAAUUUGGUUACUGAUCACUAAGCCUCUUUUGCUUGCCUGUUACAAGAAUAAAUGAUUUUACUUCCUCAGGAAUUUUUUUAUGUGCUGACACCUUAAAAUAGUACCUCUUAAUUGAUAAUGAAUUUGAAAUGAGCUUUAAGUAAUUAGAUACACUUGUGUUGGCACUUCACCAUCUCAAUUUUUGCUACACAGAAGGACAUUAAGACUGCUGUAGAAACUCACUCAUGCUAACUUUUAUUUAAAGUACAACAGCUUUUCCUGCUGCCCUUUGGUAAAAAUAGUAAAGGUGGUAAUACAAAAGUAAAAAAAAAAGAUAAAAA
rnacentral:lncRNA from 1 species